GCCAGACCCGCACGAAGGGAUUCACUCCUGCAGAGUCCAGACCCCCGCCUCCGUCUUCGGUCGCCGGACCCGACCCACCCUCCCCUGUCUCGCACAGAUAAGGCAGGAACUACACUCCGCGCUAGGCCCCGUUCACCGGCAUGAUCGCCCCUGCCGCAGCCCUGCUCAAAGCGCCCCCCAUCCCGCCCGUGGUCCCUGCUCGCCGGCGCGCUCCGCCCCAGCACGUCCCAGGUCGCCGGAGAGCUCCGCCCCGAUUCGUCACUCGUCGGCCUACUCCGCCCAGAUCAGCCCCCUUGACACUUGUUAUGCGCGAGCGGCGGCUGCAGGAGUGGACCAAGGCGUGCUUUUCGAUAGGGGACUACCUCCUCAAGCCGAGCAGUGGACGUGGCAGGGGAGGUUGACAAGGCCCGACGCGCUCUCGGGCUGGACGCCGGAGCCUGGUAAUUGAGCCUUAAACAUGACCAUACUUCAUGAUGUAGCAAAGUUGAGCAUCAUUCCACGAGCAUCUGAUGGUUCUCUGGUAGUACAAUUCAAGGUUGUGUAUCAAGUUUUAAAAAGUCUGGUUCCCCUGGUUAGGAAUAUAUUGUUCAUGCUAUUAAUUUUACUUUGAAGGAUCAGAAGAUUUCACUUGAUAAUGAUUUGUUAUCUGAGCUUCCACGGGCUUAGCCAGAACAUACAAAGAGCGCCAUCAUAGGACUGCUUUGAUGACACUGCCACCGUCAAGGGCGACAACGACAAUAUUUUCCUAGCAGGUAUCAACUUCGACAGGAUCCAACUCUGAAUGUUCAAUGGCAAGCUAGAUAAGAUAAGUACACCUAGAUGGUAGCCUCGAGCUUUAUUUUACUUGAAGUAAUAUUUCUACGACACACAACUGGUCCAUGCAUUUCAAUUGGUGGAAGGCAUGUACAAACACAUAAGGCUGUUUUUAUAAUAGAAAUCUGAGAUUAUUAUCUACCUUCCUGCUAACGAAUGUAUAAUAGAUCUUUUCACCGCCAAGAAAUUGCAAAGCAUACUAAAAGCCUAACGGUGCUUAUGUAUACACCAAAUGCAGCAGUCUACCUCUCUGAUUCUUUUUUUAAUGGACAGUUGUAUAUGGAUCUCUUUCUCGAGCUAAAUCCAGAAACAAUCUAAAGUAAUUCACCGGUAGAAUCAGUUGCUUCUCUAAUAAACGAAGAGUUUUCAGCGUGUUGUGCAACUCAUGGAACAUACAAGUAAACAUGCCAUUGUAAUAUACAGAUAGCAGACCAAGGUUUUAAGCUUGGCAUCGUUUCAAACUCUAAAGCCAUUAUUGGUCAUAGAAUCUGGAAGAACUUGAGUGAGCAACAAAGUUACCAUGGUCUCUCUACCUCUUGGGGUAAGUCAAGCUGCCUGAUCGUGUAGUUUUCUCUUACCAUGUGAAGAGAAAUAGCCUGUAGCCAGAUCUACAUAUUAGGGAGAGUAUGAAUUGACGACAGGAUUGUCUGAUCCGUAUUUAAACUGGAUGUUUUUGUACUCUUAUAUUAAAGCUGGCACAGUUUAAAAGUGAAAUUCAUGUCACUCUGCCCUUAACCUAUGAAUUAUGAAGGUUUUUGAGAAUAAUAGAGAUGGAGAGAGAUAUAUCUUGUAAAUGUGUAAAUAUACUGAAUAUUUGUGGGAGUGCAUACCGCUGAAGAUCUAUUGCCUGCAUGCAUGUAAUUUUUUUUUACUGAACCAUUACUACUGUAGGUUGCUUCUGAGAAGGGGAUGUUCAGCUUUGUCGUGAACAUACAAGUAAGCUUGUUCUCUCAGCCCCUCUGCCUUUUUCUUACAGAAAGACAUCCAAACACAGUACAUUAAAGCAUUCUAUUAGCCACUUCCAUUUGCACUGUUUAUUUCAACUCUUGGCUCUGACUACGAAAUUCUAACUCAGGAAUCUGGAUCUGCUCUUUUAGCAAUCCUAUUUUGAACUAUCUCAUAAAAGAUUACCAAUUGGAAAACUGGUAUUUGUUUUUUUUCAGUGACAUGAAGCCACUUCACCCUUUGCUAUAAGAGAAAUUAUAUUAUUAUUCAAUCCUCGACCUGCUGUCAGGUCCUAAAACUUGAUUAUGUUUUGGUUAUGGUCUGUGUUAUAUCCAAAUAAGCAAGUAGAUUUAUGGUCAUGGUAAAGAUUGUUGUCAAGAUCCUGGUCCCAUGUUGCUUCUUUAAGUCUUUCAAGAUGAGCUGACCGUUGCUUCUGUUUAAGUCAUUCAACAUGAGCUGACCGAAUCUUUAUUUCAGUCGCUUGUUCAAAGCAACUAAUGUAAUUCUUUUGCCUGCCUCUCCUGGAAAAUCUGUGAGUUUAUGGUUAAUUCUUGUGAGUGCGUACAUUUUCUUGCCAUACCUUUAAGAUUCAAAAGCAUGCAUAUAUAAGAUCAUUUCAAUUUUAUACCUCGAUCUGUGUGAGCGCAACAUUUUGUAUGUACUUAUUUUGAAACAUAGAAUCAUCCAUAUGCGAUUCUAAUUUUGCAACACAAUCGUAUUUUGGAGACAUAGAAGGUUUUCUUUUGAAAUACAUAUUGUUUUUCUUUGACAGGACAAGACAUUUCAUAAACGGAUAAUAGCAGACUGCAGAAGAAAGGAUGGUCAUAGCAUGAUCAAACUUUUUAAUAUAAGGUUCGUAACACAUGGCCAGUAUGCAUUAUGAAUGCAUAAAGAGAAUGAUUUAUGACAAUAGGAGUUUUUAUUUGUGCGAAAAGUUUUUUAAUGGAAGCACAAAGACAUCGAGGCACAUGUUCUAUUUUCUCCACUGCAAAGUCUUCAUGGCACAUAUUUUGUUUUCUUCAUCAUUUCCAAAUCCAAGGUCUUCAUGAGGCAAUGUCUUCGGAGGUAUCAAUGAACAAUUUCUUUUGGCUAGAAGAUUUAUUUCCAUCAGUUGCUGACCUGUAGUUUGGAUGUAACUUGUGAGAUUAACACCUCUAGGAUGAAUUUACCAGAACACUUAUGUAUUUGAUAAACAAUUUUUCUCUAAAUAAUAUUUCUUGAUUUUUUUUGCAA